rnacentral:rRNA from 1 species
GACGAACGCUGGCGGCGUGCUUAACACAUGCAAGUCGAACGGACAGGCCCGGAGUUUGUGGCGUGGACGAGUGGCGAACGGGUGAGUAACACGUGAGGAACCUGCCCCUGACUGUGUGGUAAACCCCGGGGACAGCGGCUCAUACCGCAUAUGAGAUUCUGCAGCAUAGGGUUGUUUUGUAAAAGUUGGCGGUUUGAGAUGGUCUCGCGGCUUAUGAGCUGGUUGGUGAGGUAGUUGCUGACCAAGGGUACGACGGGUAGCCGGCCUGAGAGGGUGACCGGCCACCAUGGGACUGAGAGACGGACCAGAAUGCUACGGGAGGCAGCAGUGGGGAAUAUUGCACAAUGGGCGGAAGCCUGAUGCAGCGACGCCGCGUGCGGGAUGACGGCCUUCGGGUUGUAAACCACUUUCUGAGGGGAUGAAGCGGUAGUGACGGUACCUGAUGAAGAAGCACCGGCUAACUACGUG